rnacentral:rRNA from 1 species
GAGUUUGAUCCUGGCUCAGAUUGAACGCUGGCGGCAGGCCUAACACAUGCAAGUCGGACGGUAACGGGAAGAAGCUUGCUUCUUUGCCGACGAGUGGCGGACGGGUGAGUAAUACAUAGGAAUAUGCCUUUGUGUGGGGGAUAACUAUUGGAAACGAUAGCUAAUACCGCAUAACGUCUUCGGACGGACCAAAGGGGGCUUUCGGGCUCCCGCGCAAAGAUUAGCCCAAGUGAGAUUAGCUUGUUGGUGAGGUAAAGGCUCACCAAGGCGACGAUCUCUAGCUGGUCUGAGAGGAUGAUCAGCCACACUGGAACUGAGACACGGUCCAGACUCCUACGGGAGGCAGCAGUGGGGAAUAUUGCACAAUGGGCGCAAGCCUGAUGCAGCCAUGCCGCGUGUGUGAAGAAGGCCUUAGGGUUGUAAAGCACUUUCAGUAGGGAGGAACAGGAUGAGAUUAAUACUCUCGUCCACUGACGUUACCUACAGAAGAAGCACCGGCUAACUCCGUGCCAGCAGCCGCGGUAAUACGGAGGGUGCAAGCGUUAAUCGGAAUUACUGGGCGUAAAGCGUACGCAGGCGGUUGAAUAAGUUGGAUGUGAAAGCCCCGGGCUUAACCUGGGAACUGCAUACAAUACUGUUCAACUAGAGUGCAGCAGAGGAAGGUGGAAUUCCAGGUGUAGCGGUGAAAUGCGUAGAUAUCUGGAGGAACACCGGUGGCGAAGGCGACCUGCUGGGCGGACACGGACGCGCAGGUUCGAAAGCGGGGGGAGCAAACAGGAUGAUAUACCCUUGUAGUCCACGCCGUAAACGAUGUCUACUAGCCGUUGGGAGACUUGAUCUCUUAGUGGCGCAGCUAACGCGAUAAGUAGACCGCCUGGGGAGUACGGUCGCAAGAUUAAAACUCAAAUGAAUUGACGGGGGCCCGCACAAGCGGUGGAGCAUGUGGUUUAAUUCGAAGCAACGCGAAGAACCUUACCCGCUCUUGACAUCCACAGAACUUUCCAGAGAUGGAUUGGUGCCUUCGGGAACUGUGAGACAGGUGCUGCAUGGCUGCCGUCAGCUAGUGUUGUGAAAUGUUGGGUUAAGUCCCGUAACGAGCGCAACCCUUGUCCUUAUUUGCCAGCACGUAAUGGUGGGAACUCUAAGGAGACUGCCGGUGACAAACCGGAGGAAGGUGGGGACGACGUCAAGUCAUCAUGGCCCUUACGGGAUGGGCUACACACGUGCUACAAUGGCAAGUACAGAGGGCAGCAAUACCGCGAGGUGGAGCGAAUCCCACAAAGCUUGUCGUAGUCCGGAUCGGAGUCUGCAACUCGACUCCGUGAAGUCGGAAUCGCUAGUAAUCGUAGAUCAGAAUGCUACGGUGAAUACGUUCCCGGGCCUUGUACACACCGCCCGUCACACCAUGGGAGUGGGUUGCAAAAGAAGUGGCUAGUUUAACCUUCGGGAGGACGGUCACCACUUUGUGAUUCAUGACUGGGGUGAAGUCGUAACAAGGUAGCCCUAGGGGAACCUGGGGCUGGAUCACCUCCUU